rnacentral:rRNA from 1 species
UACGUAGGGUCCGAGCGUUGUCCGGAAUUAUUGGGCGUAAAGAGCUCGUAGGCGGCUUGUCGCGUCGACCGUGAAAACUCGCAGCUCAACUGCGAGCCUGCGGUCGAUACGGGCAGGCUAGAGUUCGGUAGGGGAGACUGGAAUUCCUGGUGUAGCGGUGAAAUGCGCAGAUAUCAGGAGGAACACCGAUGGCGAAGGCAGGUCUCUGGGCCGAUACUGACGCUGAGGAGCGAAAGCGUGGGGAGCGAACAGG